CCCCCCAGGGGAGGAGGGGGACGGAUACUCCAGAGUGGUCGAGAGGACCGUGCUGAGGAGCCACAGAGAUCACUCAGAGGUGACAUUUUCUGAGCGUGACUCUGACUCAGUGUGGGGUGAGGAGGAAUCAGCUGAAGGUCGCGAGGUCAGCCGUGUGGAGCGGAACGCGGUGGUGGUGGAGGGGGAUUGGACCGAGACGCACCACGGUGACCCCACCCUGACCUCUGACCUCCCCACGGCCCGGGACGACUUCACACAGGGCCAAGAUGUGUAAGGGGCGUACCCAGAGACGGACAGUAGUGAGGGGGGAGGAGCCUGUGGUAACAGGAAGUAGGUUCUCUUGGAGCGACUAGAUGAGCCCUCUGAGGGGUCCUGACUCCACGUCCUCCAGCAGCACCUUCAUCACCUCAUCCACCUCUACUGUUAGAAGGAGGAGGAAGAGGAGGAGGAUGGGGAGGAGGGGAUGAGGAGGAAGAGGGGAGAAAAAGGAAUAACAGGCCUCCUUUCUCGCCUCGCUAGUUUCCUGUUCGGCCUCUGACCCCGCCCCUUUCCCUGAUGAUCCACCAAUCCUAUGCAUCAGGCACAUGCAAUCCCAGAGUGCACCUCAGUCCUCCACCGUCUUCCUGUUUCAACAAUCACUACUGUUUGGUCUUAAUUAACCUGCUUAUUCACUUCUUUUCUUUCUUUCUUUUUCUUUUCUUCUUUGUGUGUUUUUUUCCUUUUGCAUUUUUUUUUUUUGUGACCAAAGAGUGUUUUUCCAUGUUUGUUUUCUGUACGUAUUGGAUCUUGAUGCUGUGGUAGAACACAGACAGACAUUAGUCAUAUAUGUGUUGUACUGCUAGAGUAGGUGGUUGGACUAACAGA